rnacentral:rRNA from 1 species
GAUGAACGCUGGCGGCGUGCUUAACACAUGCAAGUCGAACGAAGCACUUUAUUUGAUUUCCUUCGGGACUGAUUAUUUUGUGACUGAGUGGCGGACGGGUGAGUAACGCGUGGGUAACCUGCCUUGUACAGGGGGAUAACAGUUGGAAACGGCUGCUAAUACCGCAUAAGCGCACAGCAUCGCAUGAUGCAGUGUGAAAAACUCCGGUGGUAUAAGAUGGACCCGCGUUGGAUUAGCUAGUUGGUGAGGUAACGGCCCACCAAGGCGACGAUCCAUAGCCGACCUGAGAGGGUGGCCGGCCACAUUGGGACUGAGACACGGCCCAAACUCCUACGGGAGGCAGCAGUGGGGAAUAUUGCACAAUGGGCGAAAGCCUGAUGCAGCGACGCCGCGUGAGCGAAGAAGUAUUUCGGGAUGUAAAGCUCUAUCAGCAGGGAAGAUAAUGACGGUACCUGACUAAGAAGCACCGGCUAAAUACGUG